rnacentral:rRNA from 1 species
AGCGGCGCACGGGCUGAGUAACGCGUGGGUGAUCUACCUUCNAGCUGGGGAAUAACACCGGGAAACUGGUGCUAAUACCGCAUAACAUCCUCGGCUUCGUUCCGAGGAUCANAGCUGGGGACCGCAAGGCCUGGCGCUUGAUGAGGAGCCCGCGUCCGAUUAGCUUGUUGGCGGGGUAAUGGCCCACCAAGGCUUCGAUCGGUAGCCGGCCUGAGAGGGCGGACGGNCACACUGGAACUGAGACACGGUCCAGACUCCUACGGGAGGCAGCAGUGGGGAAUUUUUGUCAAUGGGGGAAACCCUGAACAAGCAACGCCGCGUGGAGGAUGAAGGCCCUCGGGUCGUAAACUCCUGUCGAUCGGGAAGAAUGCACUCGGCCCAAUACGCCGUUGUGUUGACUGUACCGGUGGAGGAAGCCACGGCUAACUCUGUGCCAGCAGCCGCGGUAAGACANAGGUGGCAAGCGUUGUUCGNAAUUACUGGGCGUAAAGGGCGCGCANGCGGCCCGUCAAGUCCCGUGUGAAAGCCCCCGGCUCAACUGGGGAACUGCGCGGGAAACUANCGGACUUGAGUUCGGGANAGGGAAGCGGAAUUCCGGGUGUANCGGUGAAAUGCNCACAUAUCCGGAGGA